rnacentral:tRNA from 1 species
GAGCGUAGCUCAGUUUGGUUAGAGCGCUUGCCUGUCACGCAAGAGGUCGCGGGUUCGAGCCCCGUCGUUCCC